rnacentral:rRNA from 1 species
UACGUAGGGUGCGAGCGUUGUCCGGAAUUAUUGGGCGUAAAGAGCUCGUAGGCGGUCUGUCGCGUCUGCCGUGAAAACCCGAGGCUUAACCUCGGGCUGGCGGUGGAUACGGGCAGACUAGAGGUAGGUAGGGGAGAAUGGAAUUCCUGGUGUAGCGGUGAAAUGCGCAGAUAUCAGGAGGAACACCGGUGGCGAAGGCGGGUCUCUGGGCCGAUACUGACGCUGAGGAGCGAAAGCGUGGGGAGCGAACAGG